CCUACGGGAGGCAGCAGUGAGGAAUAUUGGUCAAUGGACGAGAGUCUGAACCAGCCAAGUAGCGUGAAGGAUGACUGCCCUAUGGGUUGUAAACUUCUUUUAUAUGGGAAUAAAAUGUUCCACGUGUGGGAUUUUGUAUGUACCAUAUGAAUAAGGAUCGGCUAACUCCGUGCCAGCAGCCGCGGUAAUACGGAGGAUCCGAGCGUUAUCCGGAUUUAUUGGGUUUAAAGGGAGCGUAGGUGGAUUGUUAAGUCAGUUGUGAAAGUUUGCGGCUCAACCGUAAAAUUGCAGUUGAAACUGGCAGUCGUGAGUACAGUAGAGGUGGGCGGAAUUCGUGGUGUAGCGGUGAAAUGCUUAGAUAUCACGAAGAACUCCGAUUGCGAAGGCAGCUCACUGGACUGCAACUGACACUGAGGCUCGAAAGUGUGGGUAUCAAACAGGAUUAGAUACCUCAGUAGUC
rnacentral:rRNA from 1 species